UCCAGUCCAUCUGGUAAUUCUCUCAACCUGGGGCAUCCACUUAUCUCCAACUCUGAUAGAUUCUGAUUCUUAUAGAAUAACCAAUCUGGCAGACAUUCCAAUCCCUCCAAGUCUUCUAUAUUGAGGGAUAUUAAUUUAGAAAAUGAAGAAUUUAUGAACCUCAGCUUCUCCAAUCCUAUCAAAGAAAGAGAUUUGAGAUUUGGCAAGUGCUCCAGCUGUGGGAUUUCCUCACAUUCUGAGCACCUCUUGAGUGUUAUCUCAAUCAAGUUUUGAAGUGGUACCCAAGAGGCUUGAGGCCCAUCCCGUACUGCCAUCUUCUCAAUCCAUUCUGGAAAUCUUUUGCCUUUGAAUCCUUUAAUCUCUAACUUCUUCAGAUUGGCAUUUGCAUGAGGUUGGAGGCCUUCCAACACACUGUCGUCAUUUCUUUCACCUUCUCUCUCCUCAUCCCAUUCAAACCCCAAAUCAAAUAAGUUUGGCUUCUCAAAUAUCUUUGCUUUCUCUGCCUCUUCUUUGCCCUGCACCUUUUCCAAACUACUAAUCACUAGUUGUCCUUUGAGAUUCUUCAAACUUCCGAGCUCUUCAAUUUGAUAGCCCUUGUUGUCACCCACUUUAAAGUGCCUUAGUGUUUGGAGACAACUUAAUCUCCCAAUCUCCGCAGGCAACUUCACAUCAUCAUCGAUAUAGAGAUGCCUUAAGUUAAUCAAGUACUUUAACGUACUUGGCAGAAACAGCCUAUUCCCCCACCUCCUGUCGGCUCUUAAUGUUUGCAAGUGAUGGAAUUCACUAAUCCAGUCUGGCAAAUUCUUAAUUCCCGUAUUUGAAAUAUCAAGAUUUCUCAAAUGUAUCAUCUUCCUAACUGAAUUGGGCAACUCUUCAACUCCAUAACGCUUAAGAGUAAGAACAUGCAGACUUUCCAAGUUACCCGGAAUUUCAUCACCUUCCAAGAACAAUGUACGCAAAUGUUUUGCCACUUGUUUUGGCACAGGCUUUGACCCUUGAAGAGUGAUGUAUCUGAUUUGGUUGCAGCCAUCUGCAUUAUUAGAACCACCCAAAACAGAAGAUGCCAGAUCAUGCACAAGAUCGUGCAUCACACAACUCUCCACAUUUCCAAUAUCAUCUCUCCCUGCAACUUGCAACAAAGAGUUUUGUAGAAGCAUAUUAAAGAACAUCUCGCCCACAGACUCCAUAUCAUCUCUUCCAUUUGGCUCAAGAAAACCUUCUGCCAUCCAUUGUUCGAUCAGCUUCUGCUUCACAAUCUUUCCACCUUUUGGGAAAAUUGAACAGUAUGUGAAACACUUCUUGAGAGAUGGUGAAGACAAAUUAUCAAAGCUCAAUCUCAAAAUUUUCGAGAUGUUAUCUCCAUCAACAUCUGUAAGCCAUCUUUGUUCGACUUCGAGCCACUCUUCUUGAGAUUUACAGCGAAGCACUCCCCCGACCACAUUGGCAGCUAAGGGCAAACCUUUACAUCUUUUUGCAAUCUUUUUUCCAAUCAUCUCGAAUCCUGAUGGCACUUCUCCAUUUUCAUCAAAAGUCUUAGCUUUGAUUAUGGACCAGCAAUCUUCAUCUGAUAAGCCUGUUAACAUAUGAAUGUCAAUUGGCUUCACAGUUGAAGCAACCUUUUGACUCCUGGUAGUGAUGAUGAUGCCAUUUCCUUUAGUAGAAGUUACUCCCGACAGAGAAUUUAUAAAGCCUUCCCAUGUCGGAACAUCUUGAUUCCAUAUAUCAUCAAGAACAAGAAGAUAAGUUUUAGUCUUGAGAGUUUCUUGAAGCUUUUCAAGAAUAUCUUCUCUGCUCUCAACUCCAUCAAUACUCUUUCUAGUUUCCAGGAUAUCAUCAUCUCUGCUCUCAACUCCAUCUCCAUCAGCAGUGUUUUUAGCCAUCUUGAAAAGUAUUUUCUUGAAAAGAAGAAUUGGAUCAAAAGUUUGAGAAACAUGAACCCAAAGCCGUGAUCCAAAUCGAGUCUUCAUUUUUUCAUGAUUGAAGACUUUCCUAGUCAACGUAGUUUUCCCCAUACCUCCCAUUCCGACAAGAGCAAGGAUAGAGAAGAUCCGCUCCUGUGGGUGGGUCUGGGUGAGCAUCUCAACAAGUUUAGGCACAUCAUCAUCUCUUCCAAUAAAGAUUGGAUCAAGAGAGAAUGAAUCAGUCUCAAAGGAAGCAUUCAGAGCAGCAGUAGGUGCAUUCACUACUAUGCUCUGAAGGCCGAGCUCGGUUGCCCUUUUGUUCAUAUUCUCAAAACUCGUAUUGAUUUGUUUGAUUCUAAGAGCCAUAUUUCGUGGGCGUGAGAUGUGAUUCAAGGAUGAGAAGCAUGAUAGUACCUUAUCCUUGCGUGACAUCAUUUUGUUGACUUUUUUGUGGAGAAGAUGAUAGUUGAGUUCAUCCACAACAUUAUCAGCAUCGAAGGCCAGUGCUUCAAGCUUCCUCAACCAGAUCUUGACAGCAUCUUGGGAGAUGGAUUUCUUCUCCGCAUCAUUCAAGUAACCCUGAAUGAUUCCCAAAGUCGUUUGCAGCUGUUGGGCAUCUUCGUCGAGACCUCGAAGUAGAGAGUGCUCUUCUUUGAAAACAUUGAUAAGGCUUUGAAGCAGAAUUUCAAUGGCUGCAGCAGACACACCUCCUCCAUCCAUGGUUUGCAGAGAGAGAAUGCUUGUGAACUUUUUUUUUUGUGUGUGAAGAUGAUGAUUGUAAAGUUGUAGAUGACCAUUCAAACAUUAUCUCUCUUCAAUUAUGUACUCACGGGUCGCCAGGAGUGAGCAAAAUCAGGUUAACUCCGAAAAUUUGAACUGAACCUAAUUGAAAUAUUAAUUGGGUUCGGUUAAUUUGGUUUUCGGUUCGGUUUCGGUUUUGAAUUUUGAAAUUUUUGAUUUUUUUUUUAUAUUUCGGUUAUGGCUUUUAAGAAAAAAUAUUUGGUUUACCGAAAAUCGAACCAAAAUAAUAAUUAAUUUAAUAAUUUAUACAUAUUAUUUAAAAAUUAAAAUGAUUAUUAUUACUAUUUCGUAAAAUAGUCAAUAAUUACUCUUAAUUUAUACUCUUAAUUUUGGUCAAUUUAAAAAAAUUAAAGUAAUUUUUCAAUAAUUACUCUUAAUUUAUACUCCUAAUCUUUGGUUAAGAUGUUAUCAAAUUUUGAAUUAUUAUUUUUUACAUAUUUCGAAUCUUGUAUAUUGAAUGUUAAUUAGUUAUUUAAAUAUUACUCCCUCCGUCCCACUCUAAAUGUCCCAUUUGCCAUUUUGGGUUGUCCCACUCCAAAUGACCCAUUCCCUUUUUGGCAAAAGACUCUCUCUCUAUACCUAAUAUUUAAAUAAUUUCCACCAACCCACUUUAUCUACUUUAUACCCACUUUAUCUACUUUUUACACCUUUCUUAAUCUCCGUGCCCAAAAGAAAGGAGACAUUUGAAGCGGGACGGAGGGAGUAAAAAAUAUAUUGUGUACUUAUUUCGGUUAUUUGGUUUUAACCGAAACCGAACUGAAAUAUUUCGGGUCGAUUUUGUUCGGUUUUAAGCAUGUUUAGUUCGAAUUUGAAUACUAAUUAUAUAAUUCGAUUUUAAUUUAAUUUUUGUUAUUCGGUUCGGUUCGCUGACCGAAUGCUCACNGAAGAACACCGCGAGAAGGGAACAAUCCCACCCUCUACAUUUUAACUCUCAAUUCGACUCCACUAAAACAUAAAUAAAACUCCUAUUUAUAAUAAAACCCUAAACAUCUAAAAGGAAACAAACUAACUUGACCAACAAGACAAGUCAAUAAUUAAUUAAAGAUAUAAUAUAUUAUACGAUUCUAUCUUCAUCACUUUACCAUGUGGAGAUAUCUUUGGUGUUUAUUUCUGAAUUUGUGAUGCAUUUUGUCUUAGUGGCUGUAACACAGAGAAUUAGGUUUAUUGGCCCACUAACAUCUCUCAAUCUCCCCCUCUCUGUGGGAAGAAAACAAUCUUUUUCAAUGAGUUAUUUGAGCUGUAUUUUCUUUAAUAAAAUGAGAAUCUCUAUCAGAACAACAGUUAAAUGGCUUUGUUUCUGUUUGCUAUAAUAUUGCGCUUUCCAACUGGGAGUUUAUACAUUUCUCUUAACUCCUACUGUGACUUUCUGAAAGGUAAUGAAUGCGAAGUUCAAUAUAAGAUUAUGUUCUUGGGCUCUAGUCUCUUGGUCCUUUCUGUUAUAUUUUCUAUGAAUUAUUCCCUUUCAAUUAUGAAGGAUUAUUAUGCCAUGAUCAAAUUUGCCAUACGUGUGCCCAUCUGUUUUUCUAUCCUUGGGUUACUAUUCUCUGAACAUUCUUUUUUUGGGUUUAUUAGAGGUUUGCAAAUCCAUUUUUGGCAUUUCUAAUGUUUGUGCCAUUGCCAUGCUCAAUUGUUUCAAUUCUUUCCAUAUAGCAAGGAAACGAUGCACCAAAAAGGGUUGUUUUUCAGCAGACAAUAGGUACAUUUGGAUCAACCCAUAUUAAUUAUCAGUCGCACACUGAGUUGGUCGUGUGGUUAUUCAGUGGCAUCAAAGUGUUACAUAUGUGCAUGUUGUAUAGCUCUCCGUUCAUCGCGUGAAAUGGCAGGUAAUUCAGUUAGGAGUUGUGAUAAAUUAAAUUCAUGAAAACUGCUUGCAAUAUUUGAAUGAUGCUAAUGUACUAGUGGACUAUAGGUCUGGUCAUUGAAGUAGCUAUGAUUUUAUUUACAGAGGAAUGUUAGCAUACACACCAUCAUGUGCAUCUCCAUCAACACCUAGACCUAGUGUAUUGGAUUGGAUCAUUAUUUCAAAAUGAAUAUACUCAUGCAUCUCCUGCUCCGGUUCCAGCGGUCGCUGGGUUGCUCCAGUUCCAGCGGUAGCUGGGCUCCAGCCGGCGCUGGAUUGCUGCCUUCCUAAUUCCUAUCAAGUCAAUGAAAAUCCAUGAAAAUUAAUAUAAAAAAAGUCACCAAAACUCUGCAUAAAGUCUAUUGAUUUUUUAAACCCACAAAAAUCAAUAGACUUUUUAAAAUCCAAAAAAAUAUAACAGAAUCCCAAACCAAUACACCCCCUAAGAAUUUCUGUUAUUACAAUCAUGGAUUUCACACCUCAUUGGAACAAAUACUAGUGUUUGUGAUACAAUCCAUACUUGGUGAAGCCAGUUACACAUUUAGCAUCAAAAUUUAACAUUAGCCUCACGCUGCUCUGCCACCAUAGAGGAAAGCAAUAAAUAAUUGCUGCUUAUCUUUUGUCGCAUAUUAUUCAAAUUAGCAAUUCCGUAGUGAUGAUUUUAAUUCGUUCCUUAUAACACCAUACAUCCAACGUCAAAUUUUAAGGCAAGUUUGCGUGUGUUGGUAUAAUAAUAGUAUGGUUAAUGUUUGAAGCCAAAAUUUUUAAGUUCGAGUCAUUUGUCGUACAACUUUUAAACUUAUUUGUUCAUUCACAAAAAAUAAAAAAAAAUAGUUAGACAAGUUUGAUUUUCAAGGAAUAUUUAGGUAGCUGUCUACAAAGUGUCCAAUAAAUGAGUUUCAUAAAGCAAAUAAGAUAUAUAUAUACAUCACAAAUUUCUUACAUUCUAUUUCAUCAUCAAUCUAUCAUGUUUUCCUUUAAAUAAAUAAAUAAAUCUAUCAUAUUUCAUUUCAUGCCAUCCGUGUUCUUAACUACUUUCAUGGCUUGAAUUAAAGCUACUUCAACAGCUUAUGUGUCCUCAAAAGAUUGAUAUGAAAUUCAUAUUUAUUUUCUAAAUUUUAUUUUUACAUAAUUAAUUUUAAAUUCCACGAAUUAUAGCAAAAUUAAACUUUUAAGAAAAAAACAACCUCAACAAAGAAAGAAAAAUGAAACUUACUUGCUGCAAGGUUUAAUCUGGCGGCCGUCAACCCAGAUGGUGAGAUUGGGAGAGUUGUUGUGCCACUCUGCAGGAUCAAUGUGUAAUUCUCCACAAUCUUCGAUAUAUAAAACCUCCAAUGCAUCCCAGCAAGAGGGCAGAUGCCUCAACUUGUUGCAACUAUUUAGAGUUAAGCUCCGUAGGGAUGGAAGGUUCCCCAACCAUUCAGGCAAUUCUUCUACCCCUAAAUUAUGCAAGUUUAACACAUUAAGAGCUGUGAGAUGUUGAAUUGAUUCUGGUAACCACUCCCAAUUUUGCACCCCUCUUAAGGUGAAAUUAGUAAGUGAGUUGCAGCAUCCUUGCAAUAAGGCAUCCACAGGCUCUUUCAUGCCAACACUACUCUCCAUUGACAACUCCUCACUCACAUCUAUCACUAAUUCUCUUGAGCAGCCUAAAGCCCAAAUCUUGACACUAGCAAUCGGAACACCAACAAUUUUCAAAUUUGUGAGAUGAGCUGCCUUAGCGAGGCAGUCAACUACCAUCGGCAGAUUCUUUAGGCUGCUUAAUCCCUUCAAUUCGAGACACUCGAUUGUUGGCGCCCAUGACUCUAGCAUUUGACGUGGCAAAACCAUCAACCCUUGGCACCUUUCAAUCACGAGUUCGCGUAGGAUUCCUUGUGAUUGUCCUUCUCUGCCACUUGGAUUCCCUAUUGACUUCAGAUUUGGACAAUCAUGUAUAACCAACUUCUCCAGAGAAUUGAGGGUGUCCAGUCCAUCUGGUAAUUCUCUCAACUUGGGGCAUUGCCUUAUCUCCAAAUUUGAGAGAUUCUGAUUGUUAUAAAACAACCAAUCUGGCAGACAUUCCAAUCCCUCUAAGCAUUCUAUAUUGAGGGACAUUAAUUUAGAAAAUGAAGAAUUUAUGAACCUCACCUUCUUCAAUGAAUCCAAAGAAAGAAAUUUGAGAUUUGGCAAGUGCUCCAGCUGUGGGAUUUCCUCACAUUCUGAGCAGAAGGAGAGUGUUAUCUGAAUCAAGUUUUCAAGUGGUAGCCAAGAGGCUUGAGGUCCAUCCCGUACUGCCAUCUUCUCAAUCCAUUCUGGAAAUCUUUUGCCUUUGAAUCCAUAAAUCUCUAACUUCUUCAGAUUGGCAUUUGCAUGAGGCUGGAGGCCUUCCAACACACUCUCCUCAUCACUUCUUUCACCUUCUCUGACAGAACCACAUUGAAACAUCAAAUCAAAUAACUUCGGCAUCCCAAAAUAACCCCAUUGAAACCUCAAAUCAAAUAAGUUUGGCUUCUCAAAUAUCUUUGCUUUCUCUGCUUCUUCUUUGCCAUGCACCUUUUCCAAACUACUAAUCACUAGUUUUCCUUUGAGAUUCUUCAAACUUCCAAGCUCUUCAAUUCGAUGGCCCUUCUUGUCACCAACUCUAAAGUGCCUUAGUGUUUGGAGACAAGUUAAUCUCCCAAUCUCCGCUGGCAAAUCUAUACUGUCGUUGAUAUAGAGAUGCCUUAAGUUAAUCAAGUACUUUAACGUACUUGGCAGAAGAAUCGAUCUAUUCCACCUCAACCUUCUCUCGGCUCUCUCGGCUCUUAAUGUUUGCAAAUGAUGGAAUUCACUAAUCCAGUCUGGCAAAUUCUCAAUUUCUGUAUUUGAAAUAUCAAGAUUUCUCAAAUGUAUCAACUUCCUUACUGAAUUGGGCAACUCUUUAACCCCAUCACUCUUAAGAGUAAGAACAUGCAGACUUUCCAAGUUGGACAACAUGUUACCCGAAAUUUCUUCACCUUCCGAGAACAAUGUACG
rnacentral:lncRNA from 1 species